rnacentral:rRNA from 1 species
ACGGAAGGCAGCAGUGGGGAAUAUUGCACAAUGGGGGAAACCCUGAUGCAGCGACGCCGCGUGGAGGAAGAAGGUCUUCGGAUUGUAAACUCCUGUUGUUGGGGACGAUAAUGACGGUACCCAACAAGGAAGUGACGGCUAACUACGUGCCAGCAGCCGCGGUAAAACGUAGGUCACAAGCGUUGUCCGGAAUUACUGGGUGUAAAGGGAGCGCAGGCGGAGAUUCAAGUUGGAAGUGAAAUCCAUGGGCUCAACUCAUGAACUGCUUUCAAAACUGGAUCCCUUGAGUAGUGCAGAGGUAGGCGGAAUUCCCGGUGUAGCGGUGGAAUGCGUAGAUAUCGGGAAGAACACCAGUGGCGAAGGCGGCCUACUGGGCACCAACUGACGCUGAGGCUCGAAGGCAUGGGUAGCAAACAGGAUUAGAUACCCUGGUA